GUGUGUUUACCUCCAACAAGCUGGAAAGCUGAGCUGAGGAUGUCGAGGGAGCAGAUGAACAUGUAGAGGAAACCCAGAAGCAGGGCCAACUUUCCCACUGACACCAGCACUCUCAGCACCUUCCCUUUGGUAUCCAGAGCUUUCAGGUCUGUUGGCACAGACUCAGCUGUCUGCCUGACUACUGUCUGGAUCACAUCCAUCAUCAUAUGACCUCUAAUCACAUCAAUAAUACUGAUGAGGAAUGAGGGCAUCAGAGUGAUGAUAGCUCCAGUUGGUUGAUCCUGAGAUUAUUCAUGGGAGAGGAGUGGCAGAGAGGAUGGAUUCCUGGCAAAGGUUUAUCCCGCUAACAGAUAGACCACGUGUGGGUGGUGUGGGGGUGGGGUACAGAAAGUGUGUCGUUCACACUUCCUGUACCGCACCCAUGUGAUUUCACGUAAGUGUGUGUUCUAGUUUUGGAUCACUUUGAUAUAUUUUAUCUCAUAACAGACUAUUGAUUCUCUUAAUACACCCAUUGGUCAAUACUUCAAAAUAUCAGUGAUCUAAGUAUAGACCUAUAAAACUGCUGAUGAUGACUGAGAGAUUUUAGAGGCAAAAAGUCAGCCUGGGACAUACUAAUGCACUAAAUUUCCAUGGAAGUUGUGACCUGACAAAGUUGAGCGAGGACGGGAGAACUCAGCAUCCUAUUUAACAGCUUUUAUCUCUCUGUCUCAGUGACACACACACACAGUCACCACCACUGCACCUUUAGAUCCUUUGUUAAACUUCAUUUAUCCUGUGCAUGUCCCAGUGAGACACCUCCAUGCUUGAUUUCUAUCCCAAUAUACACCCAGCUGCCAUUUUAUUAGGUACACCAACCUUAAAUUAAUAGAGUCUAAUUUAGCAGCCCUAUAAUAAAACUACCAUUAUGAAGGUUAUAAUGUUCAGUUUUUAGUGAAACUGUUUGAGGCUGAUGUUGACUGUAUAGUUUGCAAUCUGUGGUGCUGAUGAAUUGUAUUACAUUAUACCAGGAGGUGUUUUUUUUAUAUUUUGUGCAUCAGUUUUAUACCAAUGAGGCAAAAAUAACAGAAAUGCCUCUCAUUGUAAGACAAUACAUUGUACCUAAUAAACUGGCAACUCAGUGUAUUUUCAUUUAUUGGGGGCUGUGUACAAUGAUAUUUAAAAAAAAAAAAAAAAAUCCAUUAAUUUUCACCAAUACAUAUCAUACCUGAGGGCACUCAGAAGUAACACAACUUUUGAUCACCCCAGGUGACCAUCUGCAGCCCAAUGCCCCCAUAGUGCUGCUGUGAUCAACCCAAGUGCUGGUGUGACCUCAGCUUACCAAACACAAACCUUAACCUUGCAGAGGAGGUGCUCUGUCACGCACACAGUGCUUAUCAGACACAAAUGAUUUUUUGUCUGGUCUCUCCUGUUAUGUCAUGUUGUCAGUUAAACUGAAUGGAUGUUAACUGGGGCAACAAAGGAAAAAAAUGCUACCUCUAUUUUUAGGUUUAUCAAUAAAUGUUAAACUAUUGAUUGUGA